rnacentral:rRNA from 1 species
UACGUAGGGUGCGAGCGUUAAUCGGAAUUACUGGGCGUAAAGCGUGCGCAGGCGGUUCGUUGUGUCUGAUGUGAAAGCCCCGGGCUUAACCCGGGAAUGGCAUUGGAAACUGGCGAGCUGGAGUGUGGCAGAGGGGGGUGGAAUUCCGCGUGUAGCAGUGAAAUGCGCAGAUAUCAGGUGGAACACCGAUGGCGAAGGCAGUGAUCUGGGCCAGUACUGACGCUGAGGAGCGAAAGCGUGGGGAGCAAACAGG